rnacentral:rRNA from 1 species
UACGUAGGGCGCAAGCGUUGUCCGGAAUUAUUGGGCGUAAAGAGCUCGUAGGCGGUUUGUCGCGUCUGCUGUGAAAAUCCGGGGCUCAACCCCGGACUUGCAGUGGGUACGGGCAGACUAGAGUGUGGUAGGGGAGACUGGAAUUCCUGGUGUAGCGGUGGAAUGCGCAGAUAUCAGGAGGAACACCGAUGGCGAAGGCAGGUCUCUGGGCCACUACUGACGCUGAGAAGCGAAAGCAUGGGGAGCGAACAGG